CCUACGGGGGGCUGCAGUAAGGAAUAUUGGUCAAUGGAGGAAACUCUGAACCAGCCAUCCCGCGUGAAGGAUGAAGGGGCUCUGCCUUGUAAACUUCUUUUGUCUGGGGCGAAAAAGCUCGAUUUAUCGAGAACUGACGGUACCAGAAGAAUAAGCACCGGCUAACUCCGUGCCAGCAGCCGCGGUCAUACGGAGGGUGCAAGCGUUACCCGGUGUCACUGGUUUUAAAGGGUCUGUAGAAGGCAGAGUAGAAAGGCUGUGGCUUAACCAUGGAAUUGCCAUUGAUACUGCAGAGCUUGAAGGAGGUUGAGGUUGGCGGAAUGUGACAUGUAGCGGUGAAAUGCUUAGAUAUGUCAUGGAACACCGAUUGCGAAGGCAGCUGACUGGACCUAUAUUGACGCUGAGGCACGAAAGCGUGGGGAGCGAACAGGAUUAGAUACCCGAGUAGUC
rnacentral:rRNA from 1 species